rnacentral:rRNA from 1 species
AUUGAACGCUGGCGGCAUGCCUUACACAUGCAAGUCGAACGGUAACAGGUUAAGCUGACGAGUGGCGAACGGGUGAGUAAUGUAUCGGAACGUGCCCAGUUGUGGGGGAUAACUGCUCGAAAGAGCAGCUAAUACCGCAUACGACCUGAGGGUGAAAGCGGGGGAUCGCAAGACCUCGCGCAAUUGGAGCGGCCGAUAUCAGAUUAGGUAGUUGGUGGGGUAAAGGCUCACCAAGCCGACGAUCUGUAGCUGGUCUGAGAGGACGACCAGCCACACGGGGACUGAGACACGGCCCAGACUCCUACGGGAGGCAGCAGUGGGGAAUUUUGGACAAUGGGCGCAAGCCUGAUCCAGCCAUGCCGCGUGCGGGAAGAAGGCCUUCAGGUUGUAAACCGCUUUUGUCAGGGAAGAAACGCUCUGGGUUAAUACCCUGGGGUAAUGACGGUACCUGAAGAAUAAGCACCGGCUAACUACGUGCCAGCCGCCGCCGCAGUAA